GACAGAGGGUGCAAACGUUGUUCGGAAUUACUGGGCGUAAAGCGCGUGUAGGCGGCAGCGCAAGUCGGAUGUGAAGUCCCAUGGCUCAACCAUGGAAGUGCACCCGAAACUGCGUCGCUAGAGUCCUGGAGAGGAAGGUGGAAUGCUUGGUGUAGAGGUGAAAUUCGUAGAUAUCAAGCGGAACACCGGUGGCGAAGGCGGCCUUCUGGACAGUGACUGACGCUGAGACGCGAAAGCGUGGGGAGCAAACAGG
rnacentral:rRNA from 1 species